rnacentral:rRNA from 1 species
AUUGAACGCUGGCGGCAUGCUUUACACAUGCAAGUCGAACGGCAGCGCGGGCUUCGGCCUGGCGGCGAGUGGCGAACGGGUGAGUAAUACAUCGGAACGUGCCCAGUAGUGGGGGAUAGCUCGGCGAAAGCCGGAUUAAUACCGCAUACGACCUGAGGGUGAAAGCGGGGGAUCUUCGGACCUCGCGCUAUUGGAGCGGCCGAUGGCAGAUUAGCUAGUUGGUGGGGUAAAGGCCUACCAAGGCGACGAUCUGUAGCUGGUCUGAGAGGACGACCGGCCACACUGGGACUGAGACACGGCCCAGACUCCUACGGGAGGCAGCAGUGGGGAAUUUUGGACAAUGGGCGAAAGCCUGAUCCAGCAAUGCCGCGUGUGUGAUGAAGGCCUUCGGGUUGUAAAGCACUUUUGGCGGGAACGAAAAGGACUGUGCCAAUACCACGGUUCGAUGACGGUACCCGCAGAAUAAGCACCGGCUAACUACGUG